rnacentral:rRNA from 1 species
UACGUAGGGUGCAAGCGUUGUCCGGAAUUAUUGGGCGUAAAGGGCUCGUAGGCGGCCAACUAAGUCAGACGUGAAAUCCCCAGGCUCAACCUGGGAACUGCGUCUGAUACUGGAUGGCUUGAAUCCGGGAGAGGGAUGCAGAAUUCCAGGUGUAGCGGUGAAAUGCGUAGAUAUCUGGAGGAAUACCGGUGGCGAAGGCGGCAUCCUGGACCGGCAUUGACGCUGAGGAGCGAAAGCCAGGGGAGCAAACGGG